CGGACGGGUGAGUAAUGUCUGGGAAACUGCCUGAUGGAGGGGGAUAACUACUGGAAACGGUAGCUAAUACCGCAUAACGUCGCAAGACCAAAGAGGGGGACCUUCGGGCCUCUUGCCAUCAGAUGUGCCAAGAUGGGAUUAGCUAGUAGGUGGGGUAACGGCUCACCUAGGCGACGAUCCCUAGCUGGUCUGAGAGGAUGACCAGCCACACUGGAACUGAGACACGGUCCAG
rnacentral:rRNA from 1 species